rnacentral:lncRNA from 1 species
GAAGAACCAAUGUGCCAGCAUCAGGUGAUGGAACCCACUGCCCUGUGCAUGCAACGUGAGCGACAUACCACUGAGCUGUACCCCAACCCCUCACUUAGUUUAAAAUAUACCCCACGUGGAGAAUGAUGGUCACCAGGCUGGGCACAGCUAAUCAAACCAAAGCCUCAGUCCUGGUACCCAAGAAUUACCAGCACUUAAGUCUAUGAGAGGGUCGGUCCUGCCCUGUCUGCCAUGGCUCCUCCAUACCGCCUUCACACUGGCAUCUGAAAGACUCUGCGAUCAGACAUAAAGC